GCCACUGUUGAGGAAGUCAUUGCCAAGAAAUCAAUGCCGACGAAUUGUUUGGCCGAAAGAUCCAUCAAAAUUGAAAGUGGAGAAAAAUUUAAUCUUUCUAGAGUUUUAUUUUUUUUCUCUCUUCUAAACUUUUUCAUCUAUUUGUCAUUUCAGUCUUAUUUUCUCUUAUUUGUUUCUUCUCCCUUUUAUUCUCCGUAAAUCUCUUGUGUUAGAAAGAGGAAAACAAAAAAUAAG
rnacentral:lncRNA from 1 species